rnacentral:rRNA from 1 species
UCCAAGAAUAUUGCUCAAUGGCCGAAAAGCUGAAGCAGCAACGCCGCGUGGAGGAUGAAAUACUUUUGUAUGUAAACUCCUGUAAGAAGGGAAAAAUAUACAGUUAUUCUGUGUUGAUUGUACCUUCAGAGUAAGCCCCGGCUAACUACGUGCCAGCAGCCGCGGUAAU